rnacentral:tRNA from 1 species
GAGGCUGUAGCUCAGUGGUAAGUGCUUGCCUCACGUGUAUGAGGCACUGGGUUCAAUCUUCAGCACUACA